CUUUCCAAAGAUGGAUGCAAAUGCUGGGAAAGCAAGAGUUGAAUUGCUAGCCAUGAGGAAAACGUAAGCCUGAGCUGUUUGCUGGCCAUCUUUGCUUCCACAUGGGGAUGGCCUGCCUGGAAAUGAAGCCACACAGAGAAAACAGAAGAGCAGUGAAGAGAAGGGUAAAAGGAGAGAUCCCAUGACAUGAUUUGCACUCUUAGAUCCAGUUAUGCCUGAUGCAGGACCCACCCCUUGGACUUCCCAUUUCCAGGAGCUAAAACUAGACUGAGUUGAGUUUCUGUCACUGACAGUUGACAGAAAAUAUCAACAAUCCAGCCACAUGGAGCCUCAUGGCAGUACCACUAACCCUGGUCACCACAUGAAUACUGACCAGAGGCAUUUCACCUGAAUCAACUGUUUGUGUUCUUAACUCCAUCUCCUCAUCUGCUUCCUGGAAGACCCAACUGACAUAGAUGGUUACAAGAAAUGAUUUCCUCCUUAUAAAACUCUAGAUGUCAAUGUGAUCUUUCACAAGCACACUGAAAAAUUCACACCGUGGAAAAGAACUAAAGUCCCAUCCUAAUUCAUCAGAGCCUUCUGUUUCCUGUAACAAAGAAGAACUCACAAGAUCAGGAUUCCAAGGUAUAUAUCUAGAAGUGGAAGUGCUGGGUUAUACGCUUCUUGUAUAGAAGAUACCUAAAAAGUGUUUGCUGAAUGAAGAAAUAAAGGAUUGCUCAGGCACCACUGGCACUUUAAGUUGUUCAGCAAGUACUCGUGCCUCUUAAGAACUGGCCAAGGGCCGGGCGUGGUGGUUCAUGCCUGUAAUCCCAGCAUUUUGGGACGCCGAGGCGGGCAGAUCACGAAGUCAGGAGUUCGAGACCAGCGUGGCCAACGUGGUGAAACCCCAUCUCUACUAAAAAUACAAAAACUUAGCCGGGUGUGGUGGCCUGCGCCUGUAGUCCCAGCUACUCGGGAGGCUGAGGCACAAGAAUUGCUUGAACCCACGAGGAGGAGCUUGCAGUAAGCCGAGAUCGCGCCAUUGCACUCCAGCCUGGGCAACAGGGCAAGACUCUGUCCUGAAAGAAAAAAAAAAAAAAAAAAAAAAAGAACUGGCCGAGGUCUUAGCUGGAGCACUCUCUCUACCCUGCAUGUUUGACUGCAUUUCUGUCCAUUUUCAAUCCGUUUUGGUUAUACGUUUUUUCACACAGGUCUGUUGAACUUAGAACACCGAAGGCCUGUGUAUUUUCAUGGCUCACAGCUCAUGUUGUGUUGACCUGCCCCACUGUGGUUAAUGUUUAGCCCCUAAACCACCAGCUGAAUGUCCUUAAAUCUGAAAGAAUAAUGAACACACGCCAACAGAUAGCUUAGGUUUAUUUGGUGACUUGCGCCACAUACUUUGCGAAUAUCAUCUCAGUCAUCCUUUUAGCAUCUCUCUCAGGCACAUACUCUCCUCUGUGGUGGCUCAUGCCGGUAAUCCCAGCCCUUUGGGAGGCCGAGGCGGGCAGAUCACUUGAGGCAAGGAGUUCGAGACCAGCCUGGCCAACACGGUGAAACCCCAUCUCUACUAAAAAUACAAAAA
rnacentral:lncRNA from 1 species